AAGGCCGAAAGUUUCAUAUGCUUCUAGCACCGUCUCACUCUCACUCUCAGUGUCCUUGCACCUGCACACACUGAAGAAAAUAGCACUCAAGUAAAAAAAUUGCACUCACCACUCUGCUUCUCCCUUGACUCCCUGGAUCUUCCCCAACGCCAGCGACCGGACACCCGAUCUGUGACCGGAGACCAAUCGACGCCGUAGUACUGCUCCCCCACCCCCGUCCCUCAUCCUUGCGACAUCCCCAUCCCUUCUCUCGGCUCCAGCUCUCCCCCAUCUUGCCUCCCGUGUGACCGACGGCUCCACAUCAACGACCACCUCCGGCCGGUGACCCAGGACUGGGAGGUGCUCGAUCUCUUCAUGCUCAUGGUCGAUCCAGUGCUAUGCGCUAUCAGAGGUGGACGCGGAGGCACAUGGCUUCUCUACACUUGAACGGCGGCCGCGGUCAUCGCACACCGGAGGGCUCAAGUGCACCGGCCACCAAGAAUACAAGGCUCGAAGCUCAAUCCAGUAAUAAAAUAAAGCAACAGAAUCAGAGCAAGUGAAAAUCCAUGCGGAUUUGCUGCCAGCAAGAUAAAACUCAUGCAGCCGAUGAAGUGUUCCUCCUGGAGGGGAAGGUGGUAAAAAUCAAGGUGGCUAAGACAGAUAUCCUAGCGGCAAGUUGUUGAGGAGCUCUUUGUUGUCGGCACCGGCAUGCGGGAAGAAGCAAUCUGGGCAGACAUUGAUGAUUAUCUACUGGUGGAAGCGUAAGAUUUUACACACUUAUACCGAUGAUUGUUUGGCCAUAAAAAAUGCAUAUUAUUUGGACCUGGGUUCAAAAAACAGUUGUUGCUAAAAUCCGGGUUAGUCUGCCCAGGAUGUACCCAUAAGCUUAUCUUUCAGUAAUAGUAAUUCCUAAAGAUAAAAGAGGAGUGUGUUGGUCAGAGGUUUCACGCUUGCAUUAUGUAUGGUUGCGAGUUGUUGCUUUGAAGGUUCCGGCUCUGGCCUUGGAUUGUGAACCCGAUGUUGACUUCAACAAAGACAUAGAUGCUAGUACUGAAUUUUAGACGCUGUUGCUGCCGGGAGCAAUCCUGGCAGUAACGACAUUACCAUUACCAACCAGCUGCAUAAGCCUGUCAUCAUCGUGUUUGAAAAUAGAACCUAGACCCUUAUCUUUGCCUUGCUUGAGUCAUCAACUUUGGAUCCUGCGAUAUAUUUGGGUCAGCUAAUACAUCAUAUCCCAAAAUACCCUGUUUCUGCACUAGUUAAACUUCAUGUGUAUCCACUUAAAAUGACUGCCAUAACAAUGACCUAUUUUCACGGCAGUUAACAUCUUAUAAUCAAAAUUAGAACAAACACAAGAUAUUCAGAGUAUAUGUUCAGUUAGAUUCAGAACACUAAACUGCAGUGCAGAUAGAUGCAUUAGUGGAGAUGACCAAUAACUCCAAUGAAGUUCCGUUGAUAUUGUACAAAUGAUAACUCUAUAUCUAAGUAAGAAAUUUAAAAAUGUAGUGCAAAUCAGAAGCAUGUGCUCGUGUGGCAGCCCUCUCUUUUGAAACUCGGUAACAUGGACAUAUGCAACAACCUCACCAAAGUACUAUUUUUUAUCAAGAGAUCAUCCUUCAUACUUCGCAAUUUGGCCCUGUAUACUCUCGCCACAAGGUCUGGACGGUCUUGUGGUGUCAGCCCAUGUUCAAGUCUGGCUGUAAUUUCCUACCAGUGCGGGUUGCAAGUCAUUGUGAUAAAGUAAUCAGGCUCCCCAAACCGUUGGACUAUCGCCAUCGCACCAAGGAAUCUUCGCUGCAUGUCUGUAUCACCUCCUGGAAAAAUCCUCGGAAGCACGAUUCUCUUACCAACCCGACAAACACGUGUCUCUCCAGCAUUCAUGACAUCAACAACACCCUUAAGAAAAUAAAUCAAUCAAAACAUCAUUCUGCAUGGUAUUUUUAAAUGUGUAGGGCGAUGUCUGUGUAAUAUAAAAUGGAAACGGAGAACAACAUGAUACCUGGUAUAGAUCAGCAGGAAUGCGUUUUUUAUUCUUAGGCUUGGAGAAGAAAUAAAGUCUCAUAGUCUCCAUCUUGAUGUACAUAUCGACUGCCCAUUGUUGGAACCCACGUGCACCGAACAAUAUAGUGUUGAAGAGUCCUUUCCUGACUUGUAGAUUGAAGCAGUAGUACUCUCUUGCACUGACAAAUUUUCUGGACCCUCCGGUUGCAUUAUCAUCGUGAUCCUCUUCGUCUGCUAGAACAUGGAUAAAGAAAUGAUUGAUUGGUGAUCUCCACAAACAGUGAAUAAAAUGUGAAACAUGUUGAAAGCAUGCGGAUAAUUACAUGCUACCUCAUCCGUGUUUUGUUCCAUAUGUACAUCUGAACUCCGAUCUAGACCUUGCAAGUCUUCACGCUCGAUGUCAUCCUCGGUAUCCUCUUGAGCUACUUGAGGUGGUGUCUCAUAUGGUAUCGAAUGGUUCCAUCCCGUCUCCCCUCUCGGGAAAAAUAAUGGAUACGCCAAACGAUCAUAGCAACCAUAGUAAGCUCUAAUAUAUAUUGGACGGUCCCCUUUGCCAUGCACGACAACUUGCCUAUCAAAAGUGUUUUCUGGGUCACACCCUUAUAUUUGAGCUUUGAUGUCCUCAUUUUUAUUCCUCUCUCUAUCAUAGAAUGUUGGAAAAUAUUUCAAUACUUCGAAUGCUAAAAUUCUUGGUCCGGUGACACUUUAUGGUCGGAAUGAGGGAAGAAGAGAUCUCACAUGGCAGAAAUGAACUUAUCAGGUAACAUAUGUCAUUGUCAUGUCCUGUCGAGUUUUAACCUUGUGCGUGGUGGUCGAACUAAUGAGUUAUGUCCUUUUGUUGCACAUUUAUUAUUGAUGGGAAAUCCUUCUGAUAUCAAUCAACUUCCAUGGCUAAUGUUGUUUUUCCUCUCACAAGAGAAGAAUGAAUCCUCAAUUUCCUUUUGAAGUUAAUAUUUGGGUGCAUUAUCAAUCACCUUCCAUGGUUAAUUAUUUGUUUCGUUUUAGUAGAGAAGAAUAGAUCCCCGGGUUUCCAAUUUUGUGCCUACCUACGAUUUUUAUGGCAGAAAUCAGAUUUUAUAAGCACAUGUGAUCUGAAGAAUAGAUGCACCUUAUCAUACUAAAUUUGUAGGUGGAACGGUCACACACAUGAUCUGGAAUUUUUUACUUUUUUCAAUGUGUAUGAAACUGCGGCUCUGAAACAUACAAUUGAGUUCUUUUAUGUCAUUGCAUUGUUCUAAAUUUGUUUUAUGGCUGCUGGUCAUGGUAGUAAUGCUGAUGGGCCAUAUACCAUGCCGAAAGAGAUAUUGAUUUUGUGUGAGGACAUGAUCACCGGCCUCAAAGAUUCAAGAUGAGCGAGGCGGUGAGGGUUGGCAAUCAAAUUCAUCAGAUUACACGUGUGUGGCACGUGCACCUUUGCUGACAUGCACUUGCAAAUGAAAGGAACAUAUGUGAUCAUAUUUAUUACCAGGUGAAGUAGACGAUGGGGUACAUGUUUGUGCUGCUUUCUUCGAUGCGUGAGCCAUAAGAAGUUUCAUCAGAUAUGCUGCUUUCUUCUCCUUGGAUAGACUUGCAUACCAACUGACUUUUUUUUGUACGACAUUAGCUUGAUCUGGUUGAGCUUCGUUAGUACCAGUACUUCCAGCCAUGCUGCCCACAGCUUGCAUCAUGAAUAUAUAUAGUUUGAUCUUGAACAUUAGAGAAGACAAAUGCAUAAUCUGUGAUUAGGAAAUUUGAACAAGUUAUACGAUCUCAAAGUGUUCUUACAAUGUAAAUCUUGUGUGGUAGAUGAUUCUGUUACUUCGUCAUUGACGCCAUCAGAUGCAACUUUAUUAUGGAGACCGUUUAUUCCUCCCGUCCAUAUGGACUCAAUGUUGAUGAUGAUCAAUGAUCGCUGAGGCACCAACUGUACAUGAAGCACCUGGUGACCCGAGCAGUACAUUGGACGUUAUGUGAUGGCCCAUCCAGUGUGCAUGCUUCUUGGUCAUGCUCAAGAGUAGUCAUGUUUGAAGACUUCUUCUGUUGGCGGGCUAUACGGCGCUUUUCGAGGGUGCAGUUGAAGUUGCGGCGGCGACGUGCUAACCCUGAGAGGGAGACGCGAUCCCAGGUGAUAGGCGUGGGGGAGGCGCAGUCGCAGAGAUAGGAAGAGAGCCUCGGCAAGGUGUAAGCAGGGGUACCCGACGGUGAUGAGCCGGUGUGCAAGAGCCCCGGCGGUGAUGAGUCAGUGUGCAGGAGCCAGCCUGUGUGCUGCACCACACACGCCGCAGAACGGCGGCUAUUUCACGAAGGUAAAAGCCGCGGCAAGGUGUGAGCAGGAGUAGCACGGCCGUGUUGCCGGUGUGCCGGAGGCUGUGCGUGCGUUGCAGCACAGAUCGCGGGAGAUGGGUAGUUUUUUCCCCAAGGUGGAGCUGUGAACUGCUGCCACGCGUGAAAGAACGGCAGUUAUGUUGUUGUUUUUUUUUCCUGGAAUAAUCGCUAGCUUUUGCUAAGUGAUCGUUUGGUGGAGAUGUUUAGCGCUUAACAUUGGAGCCUCGUGGGACGUUGGAUGUACUUUUUGAACGGCUGAUAUUGUUUGGAUCUCCGGCUCUCUCUCUUUUUAUAUUAGCCAAUACGACCGUGUCUUCUUCCCAGAUCAUACCUCCCAGAUUCUCCGACCGGCACGGGAGAACGAGGCGGAGGGGCUCCCUUCGCCGCUCGAUUCGUGGCGUGGGGGUCGUCGCGCGCGCUGAUUGUCCUCCACGGGAGAUUGACCUUCCUAUGGGAUUGGAGCAGCAUAAAGAGGCGAGGGUCGAACCCAUGGACUGCUAGCGGCGCAUCUUGCGGGAAGAAGUGAGGGAGGAGACCGGUGCUGGAGAAGGAGCGUCUUCGGCAUCGGCGUGCGUGGUAGCGUCGCUUGGGAGACGGGGCUUGGCCCGAUGGGCUGCCAGCGGCACAUCUGAGGGGGAGAAGUGAGAGAGGCAACCGCUGGUGAAGAAGGAGCGCCUUCGGACUCGGGUAGGCCGGGUGCAGUGUCGCUGGGGAAGGGAGAGGGUGCAGGCGCUGUCUUGAAAACCGGAGGAGCUCCACGUCCUCCAGCUGCAGACUGACAAGGAGUACGACGAGGCCCGGGCUGUUUGGCCGCCGGACACAUGGAAAAAUGAAGUGGCCCGGGUCGACGCAGUUUGCUCCUAUACUGAAUUUAGCUGAUGAUGCUGUAAGUGAAAUUUGGUUUUGGUUUACGCUGUGUAUAUAUUGCUCGUUCGUUCCUGCUGAUUGAUUCGGCUGUGAUAAAAUGACAGAGAGAAGAGAUGCUUUGCUGCUGAUUGUUUGUGCUACGCAUGAUUGCUGCUGAUUGCUUCGGUGGGGAAGUAACUUUUUAUAGGAUCAAUAAUCAAUUUUGCCACUGGUUGCAUGUACUGAAUAAAACUGCUACUAUAUAUGGUGUUUUAUAGAAUGCAGUAAAUGUCAAGGAGGAUUUUUGUUUCAUCAGAAUAAAACUGCUACUAUAUAUGGUGUUUUAUAGAA